UGGUAGUNCACGCCGUAAACGAUGAGUGCUAGGUGUUAGGCCCUUUCCGGGGCUUAGUGCCGGAGCUAACGCAAUAAGCACUCCGCCUGGGGAGUACGACCGCAAGGUUGAAACUCAAAGGAAUUGACGGGGGCCCGCACAAGCGGUGGAGCAUGUGGUUUAAUUCGAAGCAACGCGAAGAACCUUACCAGGUCUUGACAUCCCGAUGCUAUUCUUAGAGAUAGGAAGUUACUUCGGUACAUCGGAGACAGGUGGUGCAUGGUUGUCGUCAGCUCGUGUCGUGAGAUGUUGGGUUAAGUCCCGCAACGAGCGCAACCCUUAUUGUUAGUUGCCAUCAUUAAGUUGGGCACUCUAGCGAGACUGCCGGUAAUAAACCGGAGGAAGGUGGGGAUGACGUCAAAUCAUCAUGCCCCUUAUGACCUGGGCUACACACGUGCUACAAUGGUCGGUACAACGAGUUGCGAGCCGGUGACGGCAAGCUAGUCUCUGAAAGCCGAUCUCAGUUCGGAUUGGAGGCUGCAACUCGCCUCCAUGAAGUCAGAAUCGCUAGUAAUCGCGGAUCAGCACGCCGCGGUGAAUACGUUCCCGGGCCUUGUACACACCGCCCGUCACACCACGAGAGUUUGUAACACCCGAAGUCGGUGAGGUANCCUUUUAGGG
rnacentral:rRNA from 1 species